rnacentral:rRNA from 1 species
GAAAUUUUGCAUCUUAACUGAAAAAGUGCCGUUGAUACUGUGAGGCUAGGAUUUGGUUGCUGUGGGUGGAAUGUGUGGUGUAGCGGUGAAAUGCUUGGAGAUCACACAGAAUAUCGAUUGCGAAGGCAGCUCACAAAGCCAAGAUUGACGCUGAGGCACGAAAGUGUGGGGAUCAAACAGGAUUAGAUACCCUGGUAGUCCACACUGUAAACGAUGAUAACUCGCUGUCGGCGAUAUACAGUCGGUGGCCAAGCGAAAGCGAUAAGUUAUCCACCUGGGGAGUACGACCGCAAGGUUGAGACUCAAAGGAAUUGACGGGGGCCCGCACAAGCGGAGGAACAUGUGGUUUAAUUCGAUGAUACGCGAGGAACCUUACCCGGGCUCGAACGGUGCAGGAAUAUGGUAGAGAUAUCAUAGCUAGCAAUAGUCUGUAUCGAGGUGCUGCAUGGUUGUCGUCAGCUCGUGCCGUGAGGUGUCGGCUUAAGUGCCAUAACGAGCGCAAUCCUUGUCAUUAGUUACCAUCACGUCAAGCUGGGGACUCUAAUGAGACUGCCACCGUAAGGUGAGAGGAAGGGGGGGAUGACUUCAAAUCAUCACGGCCCUUAUGUCCGGGGCGACACACGUGUUACAAUGGGGGGUACAGAGGGCAGCCAUCCGGCGACGGAGCGCCAAUCUCAAAAACCCUUCUCAGUUUCGGAUUGGAGUCUGCAACCCGACUCCAUGAAGUUGGAUACGCUAGUCAUCGCGCAUCAGCCAUGGCGCGGUGAAUACGUUCCCGGUCCUUGUACACACCGCCCGUCAAGCCAUGGAAGCUUGGGGUGCCUGAAGUUCGUGAUCGCAACGAGCGACCUAG